GCUCGUGUCGUGAGAUGUUGGGUUAAGUCCCGCAACGAGCGCAACCCUUAUCCCCAGUUGCCAUCAGGUAAAGGCUGGGGAACGUCUGGGGAGACUGCCGGUGAUAAACCGGAGGAAGGCGGGGGAUGACGUCAAGUCCUCAUGGCCCUUACAUCCCGGGCUACACACGUGCUACAAUGGCAGGUACAGAGGGCUGCGAAGCCGCGAGGUGGAGCGAAUCCCAGAAAACCUGUCUCAGUCCGGAUUGAAGUCUGCAACUCGACUUCAUGAAGGCGGAAUCGCUAGUAACCGCGAAUCAGCAGGUCGCGGUGAAUACGUUCCCGGGCCUU
rnacentral:rRNA from 1 species